CCCUUAGAUGUUCUGGGCUGCACGCGCGCUACACUGAAGCGUUCAACGAGUAUUUCACCUUGCCCGGGAGGGUUGGGUAAUCUUUUUAAAACGCUUCGUGAUGGGGAUAGAUUAUUGCAAUUAUUAAUCUUCAACGAGGAAUUCCUAGUAAGCGCGAGUCAUCAGCUCGUGCUGAUUACGUCCCUGCCCUUUGUACACACCGCCCGUCGCUCCUCCCGAUUGAGUGAUCCGGUGAAUAAUUCGGACUGCAGCAGUGCUUGGUCCUCCGGGCUUUGCAGCGGAAAGUUUAGUGAACCUUAUCACUUAGAGGAAGGAGAAGUCGUAACA
rnacentral:rRNA from 1 species